GACGAACGCUGGCGGCGUGCUUAACACAUGCAAGUCGAACGGAAAGGCCCUGCUUUUGUGGGGUGCUCGAGUGGCGAACGGGUGAGUAACACGUGAGUAACCUGCCCUUGACUUUGGGAUAACUUCAGGAAACUGGGGCUAAUACCGGAUAGGAGCUCCUGCUGCAUGGUGGGGGUUGGAAAGUUUCGGCGGUUGGGGAUGGACUCGCGGCUUAUCAGCUUGUUGGUGGGGUAGUGGCUUACCAAGGCUUUGACGGGUAGCCGGCCUGAGAGGGUGACCGGCCACAUUGGGACUGAGGUACGGCCCAGACUCCUACGGGAGGCAGCAGUGGGGAAUAUUGCACAAUGGGCGGAAGCCUGAUGCAGCAACGCCGCGUGCGGGAUGACGGCCUUCGGGUUGUAAACCGCUUUCGCCUGUGACGAAGCGUGAGUGGCGGUAAUGGGUAAAGAAGCACCGGCUAACUACGUG
rnacentral:rRNA from 1 species